UGUUUACAAGUAGAAGUUUCACAAGUUAGAAAAAUUUAUCAAAUGCUCUUUUCUGCAACAAAUAGUUUAGGAGAUAACUGCGUGGUUCGCUUCAAAUGGCACACCCUCUUUCUCUUUUUUAUAAUUUUAUUAUAAAUAUUUUCUUUUUUGUACAUUACAUAAAAACACAGUAAUAGCAUACGUAUACACCGUACAAAAUGAUACUUUCAGCCGAUAGUGGAUUAUUUUUUAUUUAAAUUUUUGAAAAGUUAGAAAUUACAUGCGAAUUUUCGAUUACAUGUAAGGUUAAUCCCAAAGUAGAAAUCUUAAAUUCCCGCGUUGUUCUGAAGAAUCUGUAGUAUAUCUUUAAAAAAAAUUCCAUUAUCAACUCACUACAAGCCAAGUGAUUUAUCAAGAUUUAAUUAAUAAACUCCACCGAUAAAUGACGGCGUAUGUAUGAAAAUAUUUACACAAUAUCUGAUUACCAUUUGCUACUGAUACCUUUGUUUUUAUGACAUCGAAUGGAACACCGUUGAUACGUGCUUACAAUCAGUGUUCGGUCUGCUCGUGCUGAAUAUCAGUAUCUCAUUUACGUUCGUUCUUUCUCCUUUUGUCAUUUGAAUUUGAAUUCUUUUCUUAUUCGAACAUCUUGAUAAGUAUUCAGAUAAUGUCGAAUUGCAAAAUGUUUUGUGAGCAGUAUUUUUCCGGUAAAAUGCAGUCUUUUCAGCGACCGUGCAUCUGGUCACGUACACAUUUGCAGCGAACACCCUUCGCAAAACGACAGAAUAAAAGAGUGAAACAAGGAAAAGAAAAGAACCUAGCGAACAGCACAAAAUUGCUGAUAUUGAUUGCAUUAUUUGUACAGCGUUGUUCGCGUCCUGUGGAGUUUCACACGCGAAUUUAUCCUUAUAAUUGAGUCUGAACAAACGUGAAACAUACGGAACGUAUAGUGUAAUUUAUAAAGCAUGUUGAGAAAGGAAUUAAAUUAUUAUUACUUA